rnacentral:rRNA from 1 species
UACAGGGGGUGCAAACGUUGCUCGGAAUUAUUGGGCGUAAAGCGCGCGUAGGCGGCUACCUAAGUCGGAUGUGAAAGCCCCUGGCUUAACUGGGGAAGUGCACCCGAAACUGAGUAGCUAGAGUACAAAAGAGGGUCGCGGAAUUCCCGGUGUAGAGGUGAAAUUCGUAGAUAUCGGGAGGAACACUGGUGGCGAAGGCGGCGACCUGGGUUGAUACUGACGCUGAGGCGCGAAAGCGUGGGGAGCAAACAGG